UCUGGCGGUUUUGCCGUCCGAGUUGUAAUCUGGAGAAGCGUUUUCCGCGUCAGACCGUGUACAAGUCUCUUGGAAUGGAGCGUCAUAGAGGGUGAGAAUCCCGUCCAUGACACGGACUCCUGAUGCUCUGUGAUACGCUCUCAAAGAGUCGAGUUGUUUGGGAAUGCAGCUCAAAAUGGGUGGUAAAUUCCAUCUAAAGCUAAAUAUUGGCGAGAGACCGAUAGCGAACAAGUACCGUGAGGGAAAGAUGAAAAGCACUUUGGAAAGAGAGUUAAACAGUACGUGAAAUUGUUGAAAGGGAAACGCUUGAAGUCAGUCGCGUCGUACGGAGCUCAGCCUUGCUUCUGCUUGGUGUAUUCUCCGUGUCGACGGGUCAACAUCAAUUUUGGCCGGUGGAAAAGGGCCUAGGGAAUGUGGCGUUGUUUCGGCGACGUGUUAUAGCCCUAGGUCGUAUGCAUCGGCUGGGAUUGAGGACCGCAGCACGCCCUUGUGGCCGGGGGUUCGCCCCACGUUUCGUGCUUAGGAUGUUGGCAAAAUGGCUUUAAGCGACCCGUCUUGAAACACGGACCAAGGAGUCUAACAUGCCUGCGAGUGUUCGGGUGGAAAACCCUUGCGCGUAAUGAAAGUGAAAGUUGGGAUCCCUCGAAAGGGGGUGCACCGACGCCCGGCCCUGACGUUCUCUGACGGUGCUGCGGUAGAGCAUGUAUGUUGGGACCCGAAAGAUGGUGAACUAUGCCUGAAUAGGGUGAAGCCAGAGG
rnacentral:rRNA from 1 species